UUGACUAAAAACGCUUCGGAGUAUAAAAGCCUAAGUUAGAUUUAGAAUCAGGGUAGUUGAAAUUAGGAGAGAGUUGAGAGUGGUAGUUGAAAUUAGGAGGGAGUUGAAAUUAGGAGAGAGUUGCAGUUGGGAGUUGGAGUUGAUUAUUUCGGUGUAAGUGCUACGAUGCACAGAUCCAACCAAAAUGCCACGGGGCAUAUCUUAGAAGCAUAGUGAAAACGUUAAAAUAAGAUUAAGAAAAAUCUUAGAAUAUAUAUUUUGGAGUGAAAA